UUUGGCCUACGGGAGGCAGCAGUAGGGAAUCUUCCGCAAUGGGCGAAAGCCUGACGGAGCAACGCCGCGUGAGUGAUGAAGGUCUUCGGAUCGUAAAACUCUGUUGUUAGGGAAGAACAAAUUUGUUAGUAACUGAACAAGUCUUGACGGUACCUAACCAGAAAGCCACGGCUAACUACGUGCCAGCAGCCGCGGUAAUACGUAGGUGGCAAGCGUUAUCCGGAAUUAUUGGGCGUAAAGCGCGCGUAGGCGGUUUCUUAAGUCUGAUGUGAAAGCCCACGGCUCAACCGUGGAGGGUCAUUGGA
rnacentral:rRNA from 1 species